CCUACGGGAGGCAGCAGUGGGGAAUAUUGCACAAUGGGGGAAACCCUGAUGCAGCGACGCCGCGUGCGGGAUGACGGCCUUCGGGUUGUAAACCGCUUUCAGCAGGGACGCGGUACCUGCAGAAGAAGCGCCGGCUAACUACGUGCCAGCAGCCGCGGUAAUACGUAGGGCGCAAGCGUUGUCCGGAAUUAUUGGGCGUAAAGAGCUCGUAGGCGGUUUGUCGCGUCGGGUGUGAAAGCUCAGGGCUCAACCCUGAGUCUGCAUCCGAUACGGGCAGACUAGAGGCAGGUAGGGGAGAACGGAAUUCCUGGUGUAGCGGUGAAAUGCGCAGAUAUCAGGAGGAACACCGGUGGCGAAGGCGGUUCUCUGGGCUGACUGACGCUGAGGAGCGAAAGCGUGGGGAGCGAACAGGAUUAGAUACCCUUGUAGUC
rnacentral:rRNA from 1 species